rnacentral:rRNA from 1 species
UGGCGUACGGGUGAGUAACACGUGGAUUAUCUACCUUCUAGUGGGGAAUACCUCCGGGAAACUGGAGACAAUACCGCAUAAGCUCGUAAGAGGAAAGCAGCAAUGCGCUGGAAGAGGAGUCCGCGGCUGAUUAGCUAGUUGGCGGGGUAAUGGCCCACCAAGGCGACGACGGGUAGCUGGUCUGAGAGGAUGGCCAGCCACAUUGGGACUGAGAGACGGCCCAG